GAUGAACGCUGGCGGCGUGCCUAAUACAUGCAAGUCGAGCGAACAGACGAGGAGCUUGCUCCUCUGACGUUAGCGGCGGACGUGUGAGUAACACGUGGAUCACCUACCUAUAAGUCUGGGAUAACUUCGGGAAACCGGAGCUAAUACCGGAUAAUAUAUUGAACCGCAUUGUUCAAUAGUGAAAGACGGUUUUGCUGUCACUUAUAGCUGGAUCCGCGCCGCAUUAGAUAGUUGGUAAGGUACCGGCCUACCAAGGCGACGAUGCGUAGCCGACGUGAGAGAGGGAUAGGCCGCACUGGAGCGGGAACACGGACAAGACGACUGCGGGAGGCAGCAGUAGGGUAUCGUCCGCAAUAGGCGGAAGCAUGACGGAGCAACGGGGCGUGAGUGGUGAAGAUCUUGGGAGCGUGAAGCUCUGUUACUAGGGAAGAACAAAUGUGUCAGGAGCUAUGCACGGAUUGACGGUACCGGAUAAGGAAGCACCGGCUAACUACGUG
rnacentral:rRNA from 1 species